rnacentral:lncRNA from 1 species
AGUCAGCAUUGCACAAGGUGUAUGACAGUGACACUGCAAGUCGAAAGGAGUACAACACCCAGUACAGUCUCAGACGCAGUCCCUCCCUGCCUUAGGCCCCAACUGCCCCAGGGAUGUUAUACUGUUUUUCUCAGGUCCCUUAUUCCAUCCAUGGGCUCUGCUGCUGACCCAUUGUCUCCUCAGUGAAAUCCUCCUCCCCCAGCCCAGUUCCGACUUGCAUCUGUGAUUUUAUUUAAUAUUGGUACUGCCUUCCUUUAUUUUAACUGGAAUUAUUAUCUCUUUCUCAACCUGCCUUCCCCAUCACCUGUCACUAUUUCCCCUUCCCUCCCAAACCUAUUGUCCCCAACCUGUUCCUUUCCCUCGGAAGACCCUGAAUCCUCACCCCAGACCUCACCGUGUGCAACCUUUAUAACCUUGUCUCACCUGGCCCUUCCCUGCCAUGGAGGGUGCUGUACAAGCCUGCCACACUGGGGGUUGUCCCUCAGUUCAGAAAUGAGCAUAGAGGCCACAAUGACUCCAAGAUGGUGGAUUGGGCCAUGAGGUAGAGAUCAAAGGAUCACUGAAGGAGGUACUAAAAGCAAUGAAUGG